rnacentral:ncRNA from 1 species
ACAGGUCUGUGAUGCCCUAAUUCUGUUCGGGGCCGCACGCGCGCUACACUGACCGGAUCAGCGUGUGCUCUCCUUGGCCGACAGGUCCGGGAAACCCGUUGAACGGCGGUCGUGCUAGGGAUAGGGAAUUGCAAUUAUUUCCCUUGAACGAGGAAUUCCCAGUAAGCGCGAGUCAUUAGCUCGCGUUGAUUACGUCCCUGCCCUUUGUACACACCGCCCGUCGCUACUACCGAUUGAAUGGUUUAGUGAGGUCCUCCGAUUGGACCCGGUCCGGGCGGCGACGUCCGAGCCGGCGUCCGAGAAGACGAUCUAACUUGAUCAUUUAGAGGAAGUAAAAGUCGUAACAAGGUUUCCGUAGGUGAACCUGCGGAAGGAUCAUUA